rnacentral:rRNA from 1 species
UACGUAGGGUGCAGGCGUUAAUCGGAUUUACUGGGCGUAAAGCGUGCGUAGGCGGUUCAUUAAGUCGGUUGUGAAAUCCCUGGGCUUAACCUGGGAACUGCAGUCGAUACUGGUGGACUAGAGUGCGGUAGAGGGUGGCGGAACUCCGGGUGUAGCGGUGAAAUGCGUAGAUAUCCGGAAGAACACCGAUGGCGAAGGCAACCACCUGGGCCUGCACUGACGCUGAGGUACGAAAGCGUGGGGAGCAAACAGG